AAAACCACCACUGAGACCUCUACCAGCACCUCCAGCACCACUGGACCUGCUGGAUCCCAGUCAACACACCUCCCUGGAACACAGGUCAAAGCAGUCAUUCACCCUGUGGUGUUCGUUGUACCCGCUGCAUUGCUCCUGCUGACUGUUGCCCUGGUCAUAGUCUGUAAAUACAAGUGUCGCAAAGUGCGAGGAGCUGGAGCCAACAUGAACAGAAAUGAAACCAAGGCAGCAGGAACAGAGGAAGUGAUUGAUGCAGAAGAUAUUUAUGCAAAUGAAGAUAGAGUCCAGGGGUUCUACCAACCACAGAGAGCCUGUCAGCUCUACGAUGAUGCAGGUGAAGAAGAAGACGACUCUGUGUACCAGAACUUCUCCACCGCAGACGAUAUCUACUGUAACCAGAUCUUCGUUAAAGGCGGCAGGAGAUGAACAGCAUUGUGAUCUCAUUUCAUUUCAGGGUCACAUCUGUACCUAAAUUAUCCCAAUUAUAUUGUCUCUAUUAACAACACACCACUGCAGACCAAACUUUUUAUUGUCUGAAUGAAAACUACAGUAAUAUAAUUAUUUGUAUGGAUUUGUUCUGUAUUUACCAUCAAAUGUAUGUUGUACUUGUGUGUUUAAUUGCUUUAUAUUUUAUUUUACACUUUCGCUUUUACCUUUACAUCCAUUAUAACUGUUUAACAUUCCUGUACUCCUUGUAAGAAAGUUUGCCAAAUGUAAGUUACCAUCAUGUAUAUAUGUAUAUUUAUAAUUAAAAGUGCAU